GUGGGUAGCGGUGAAAUUCCAAUCGAGCCCGGAGAUAGCUGGUUCUCCCCGAAAUAGCUUUAGGGCUAGCCUCAAGGUGAGAGAUACGGAGGUAGAGCACUGAAUGUCCUAGGGGGUAUUGCACCUACCGAAGACUAUCAAACUCCGAAUGCCGUCAUCUUAUACUUGGGAGUCAGACUGUGGGUGAUAAGAUUCAUAGUCGAAAGGGCAACAGCCCAGAUCGUCAGCUAAGGUCCCUAAAUGUAAGUUAAGUGGUAAAGGAUGUGGGAUUGCACAGACAACCAGGAUGUUGGCUUAGAAUCAGCCACUCAUUCAAAGAGUGCGUAAUAGCUCACUGGUCGAGUGAUCCUGCGCCGAAGAUUUCCGGGGCUAAAACUUACUACCGAAGCUACGGCAUCAGUAAUGAUGGGUAGGGGAGCUUCCCAUACGGGUUGAAGCAUGACCGUAAGGACAUGUGGACAGUAUGGGAGUGAGAAUGUUGGCAUGAGUAGCGAGAUGUGGGUGAGAAUCCCACAGGCCGUAAACCCAAGGUUUCCAGGGGAAGGUUCGUCCGCCCUGGGGUAGUCGGGACCUAAGCUGAGGCCGAAAGGCGUAGGUGAUGGACAACAGGUUGAUAUUCCUGUACUACCGAUAACCGUUUGAGAGAAGGGAUGACACAGUAGGAUAAGCUAAGCACACUGUUGGUUAU
rnacentral:rRNA from 1 species